rnacentral:rRNA from 1 species
AGAGUUUGAUCCUGGCUCAGGAUUAACGCUGGCGGCGUGCCUAACACAUGCAAGUCGAACGAGGUAGCAAUACCUAGUGGCAGACGGGUGAGUAACGCGUGGUCAACCUACCCUCGAGCGGGGGAUAACUAGCCGAAAGGCUAGCUAAUACCGCAUAACACUGUAGCCGGCAUCGGCAGCAGUUGAAAGUAGCAAUACAC